GAUGAACGCUGGCGGCGUGCCUAAUACAUGCAAGUCGAGCGAACAGAUGAGGAGCUUGCUCCUCUGACGUUAGCGGCGGACGGGUGAGUAACACGUGGAUAACCUACCUAUAAGACUGGGACAACUUCGGGAAACCGGAGCUAAUACCGGAUAAUAUAUUGAACCGCAUGGUUCAAUAGUGAAAGACGGUUUUGCUGUCACUUAUAGAUGGAUCCGCGCCGCAUUAGCUAGUUGGUAAGGUAACGGCUUACCAAGGCAACGAUGCGUAGCCGACCUGAGAGGGUGAUCGGCCACACUGGAACUGAGACACGGUCCAGACUCCUACGGGAGGCAGCAGUAGGGAAUCUUCCGCAAUGGGCGAAAGCCUGACGGAGCAACGCCGCGUGGGUGAUGAAGGUCUUCGGAUCGUAAAACUCUGUUAUUAGGGAAGAACAAAUGUGUAAGUAACUAUGCACGUCUUGACGGUACCUGAUCAGAAAGCCACGGCUAACUACGUG
rnacentral:rRNA from 1 species